UGUGCAUCCCAGGUCACCAGCUCGUGCUUAGGCAGAGCUCCUUUUCCUUCCACCCUUCUGCUGGGGCUGUUCUGCUUGCCUCAAGUAGAAACUCUGCCUAUUUACGUUUUUGAGAUGGCUCUCUCAUUGAAACUGUAACUCCAUCAGUUUGCCCAUUCCCUGGCUCGGUACCUGGACCGUGGGGAGCUUGACCCAGGCCCUUAUGUUUGUGUGGCAGGUGUAAUGGACUGAGCCAUUUCCUUAGCCCCACAUGAUUAACUGUGCUUUUGGGUUAUUUGAAUUCUUUAUAAAGCUUGUAUAUUAGGUAUAUAUUUGCAAACCUUUUUCUAGUUUUCUGUUUCACUUUAUUCAUUUGUUCUGCAGAAACUUUUGAGCUUGAUAUAUAAUCCCAGGUAUUUACUUUUGUGGCCUGAGAUCAUGUUAUGUUAGCAAAAAAAAAAAAAAAAAUCACUGCCAAGGCCAGUGCCUGCUCCCUCUGUAUUCUCUGGCUGCCCUCGCAUUUCAUCUUCUCUCAUUUUCAUCUGGUUUUUCUGUAUCAUGUCUCUAAUUUCAUUCUUGUCUGUGUAGAAAUCCACUUUCCCCAGCAUGUGAUGCCUUUAAAAAAAAUGAUUUUUUUCCCUCUCAUGAUCUCUUGCUACUCCUGUAAAAGAUUAGUUUAUCAUAUGUGUUUGGCUUGUUUUGGGACUUUCUAUCCCUUUCUGGUAGUCUGUAAGUUUUUAGUUCAACACCAUGUUUUGUUUUGUUUCAAAUGUGUAUGGGUGUUUUGCUAAUAUGUUGGUUUGUGCUACAUAAGUGCAGUGCCUUUGGAGGAGGACUUUGAUUCCCUGCAACUGCAGUUAUAUGUGGCUGUAAAUUGCUAUUGGGUGCUUGGAAUCAAAUUUGGGUCCUCUGAAAGAACUAUUAAAAAGAACAAUUCCUUCAGCCCCCCAAUAUGUUUUUAAAAAUUAUAUCCAUAUAAUAUAAUUUUAAAUACCUACGAUGUCUUUUACAAUUGCUAAUAUGGACAUUUAAACAAUAUCCUACUGCUUUCCCAGUGAAACCGCUCAGAGGGUGAUGAUGCCUGGAUUAGAUCAGCAGAACCCACCUAGUAGAGGGAGAGGACGGGCUCCCUGUGGCUGUCCUCAGACCCACAUGUGCACACACACUAACUAACUAAACAAAUGCAAUCUAGUCCAUCUUUCUCUUUUGUGUUGUUUAAUUUUUCUUUUUUAAAUCAUUUAGCAAAUAUACAGACACAUUUAAAAAGGAAAAGGACUAAAAAAAAUACUGAAUUAAAACAUAAAUGUGUACAAUUAUUGCCAGGAAAUUGAGAAGAUUCAGGGAAGAAAUUAGAAAAAUCUUGAAUGACUUGACUUUCUUUUUUUGUUUGUUUGUUUGUUUUUUUGAGACAGGGUUUCUCUGUGUUCCCCUGGCUGUCCUGGAACUCACUCUGUAGACCAGGCUGGCCUCCAACUCAGAGAUCCGCCUGCCUCUGCCUCCUGAGUGCCCGGCAUGACUUGACUUUCUAUUUCCUAACUUUACUCUCAAAGAAAUAGUAUUGAAAAGGAAAGGAAGUCACUAAAAACCUCAGAUUUAAAUGGAGUGCUGGUAAAUGAUUCUUUUGAUAAUUUCCAUUCUGCUACCUGGUUUCUCAGCAUGGGUCAGUUUGUAAAGUAAUAGGCUAUCUAGGCAUGUUUUACAUGUCUGUCACAGUGGAACAGGACAUCAACAAAGGUUGUUAAACAAGACUGAAUUUCUCUCUUGCUCCCUCUUUCGGCAGAAAGUGUGUAGAAAGUCAUGCCCAUCACAAUUUCUGGCCCAGAGCAGGCAAACACAUGACAUUCAACAAGACAAUGGCAAGGAAAACUCAAUGGAACAAGGGCUGCCACAGUGCCCCUGAGCAAGAGAAAAUAGAGGGAGACAGUCCUGGUUAAAUUAUUAAAAUUCAAGAAGUAAAAGACGAGGAGGAAUUCAGGAAGCAUCCAGUUCCUUCUCAGGGUAGAAUAGUGUCUGGUUCUAAAUGUGAAUAGUGCUCAAUCUAGUGGCAGGAGACCAUGAGACAAUAGCUUAACGUUCCUAGAAAAAGAAAUUGAGAUUCAAAAAUAUUACACCAAACAAGAUUAAGGCUUAAAGCAACAGGCAGGUAUUUUUAGAUAUGAAAUCACUAAGCAUCUAAAACUUACUAUAGAAUUUGUAGGCAAUGGAAUCAGAUAAACAAAGAAAGAAAGCCAUGGUAAAGGACUGGUAGUUAUAAAUAAGCCAGUGUAGGUUUUAAAAAUUCACAUCAAGCAAUAUUAAAUAUUCAGUUAAAUUUUAAAUGGCUCUCUAACAGGUGGAAAUAUUGAACAUUGACAGAGUUAACAAAAUGGCACAGCUUGCAAAUACCUACACCUUAGUGUGUUUAGAAUCUUUAAAGACAUGCUUUUGAAAAGUGUACACAAAAUGAUUUUCUACUUUGUUGUUGUUGAGACAGGGUUUCUCUGUGUAGCCCUGGCUGUCCUGGAACUCACUCUGUAGACCUGAGACCAGGAUGGUCUCCACCUGCCUCUGCUUCCUGAGAGCUAGAAUUAAAGGUGUGGGCCACAACUGCCUGGCUUUCUUGCUCUGACUGUUUGAUCCACAUUAUCUUGAUUUUAAAACAAGGUAUCUUGACUCUUAAAGCAUUUUUAAAAAGUUGUGUGAGGUGAGGCUGUAGAGGUGGCUCAGUGGUUGAGAGCACUUGCUCUUGCAGAGGACCCAGGUUUGGUUUCCAGCUUGCACGUCCUUGCUCAUAGCUAUGAUUGACUCCAGUUCUGGGGAUCGACUCUGUCUUCUGGAUUCUUCAGGGACCAGGCAUGCAUGUGAUGCACUUACAUGUAUAUGCAGGCAAGCACUCAUCC
rnacentral:lncRNA from 1 species